UUGUAUAUGUAUAANGUUAUGAUGUGAGUUACUCUNUGUAGUAUUGCUUGUACAUACUUGUGCAUUUAUUUGCAAGAUGUUGUCGGCGUGCACUUCUCCUCUAGUAGGACGUCGCGACCCGUUGGGUGUUGGUCUACGACCCGAGUGGGAGACUUUAAUGUUUUNAUAAUAUUAAAGACCCUUGGUGUUUUCUGACCGGCUG
rnacentral:rRNA from 1 species